GUCGUUAGCGAAAGCAAUUCAUCUAGGAGAGCAAACUCCGAUUACAAACCCGGGCAGGUGGAGGUCGUUAGCGAAAGCAAUUCAUCUAGGAGAGCAAACUCCGAUUACAAACCCGGGCAGGUGGAGGUCGUUAGCGAAAGCAGUUCACCUGGGAGAGCAAACUCCGAUUACAAACCCGGGCCGGUGAGGUUCGUUAGCCGUGGUAGGCAAUUCACCUAGGAGAGCAAACUCCGAUUACAAACCCGGGCAGGUGAGGUUCGUUAGCUGUGGUAGGCAAUUCACCUAGGAGAGCAAACUCCGAACAGUAAACCCGGGCAGGUUGGGCUCGUGAGCCGUCAUAGGUAAUUCACCUAGGAGAGCAAACUCCGAACAAUAAACCCGGGCAGGUUGGGCUCGUGAGCCGUCAUAGGUAAUACACCUAGGAGAGCAAACUCCGAUCAUAAAACCCGGGCAGGUUGGGCUCGUGAGCCGUCAUAGGUAAUACACCUAGGAGAGCAAACUCCGAUCAUAAAACCCGGGCAGGUUGGGCUCGUGAGCCGUCAUAGGUAAUACACCUAGGAGAGCAAACUCCAUACAUAAAACCCGGGCAGGUGGAGCUCGUCAGCCGUGGUGGGCAAUCUGCCUAGGAGAGCAAACUCCGAACAAUAAACCCGGGCAGGUGGAGCUCGUCAGCCGUGGUAGGCAGUCUGCCUAGGAGAGCAAACUCCGAACAAUAAACCCGGGCAGGUGGAGCUCGUCAGCCGUGGUGGGCAGUCUGCCUAGGAGAGCAAACUCCGAACAAUAAACCCGGGCAGGUGGAGCUCGUCAGCCGUGGUGGGCAGUCUGCCUAGGAGA